rnacentral:piRNA from 1 species
GCUAGGACUUCGAGUACUAUAUUGAAUAGG